UCUCACUCUCACAGGAUAUACAUCUUUCCACACCAAUAGACCUUGUUUUCCGAUGUAGCAUUAUUUUUCAUAGUUGGCGAAUAUACAGUUAUGGAUUCAUAACAGCAAGAUGGAGAAAUUGCACUGCAGAGAAAUCUUUAAAAGCAAUUACCUAAUACUGCAGAUUGCUGAACUGUACCCACACCCAAGACUGAGCAUUGGAUCAAUCCAGAAUAUACAUCAGGUGUUCUGCAAUGUCUGCCUAAAACCAUGACUCUGCCUCCUCCAGCUGUUGCUACAUCUCACUAUGGGUUUCCUGUGACAUUUUGAGCAAGUAUGCCUCUGUGACUGGGGUUCUUACACUCCAGAAUGGAUGAGAAGCACCGUAAGUGGCUUUUAAAAUGAAUAUUCCCUGGCCCUUCAGUCGCUCUAUAGGUCAAGAAUCUGAAUUCUCAACCUGUCUAGAAGGUUCUGGUUUUAAUGGUCUGUGGGCUGCACAUUGAGAAACCUGUUCAGCGAGUGCAACAAAGGUUCCACAUGUGAGAAAGGAAGCAUCAGGUCUCUUGAGCCUGUUCUUUAAUCUGUAGGCUGCACCUUCUCUUUAAAUUCUGCUAAUAACACCAUGCGAGAAAACACCCGAGCUUGAAAAGCCCAUGUUCCAACAUAACUGUCCUUCACCACUCUGGAAAAUUAAUGGUUUGUUUCGAUUAUCCCUUUGUUAAACUCCAAAGUCAAAGAGCUCUGAAAGGCAUACGGUUAUUUUAAGUUUCAGGUGAUUUCUGUUGCCAAAUAUUUUAAAAAUUUAAAAUUGCUACGUGACCUCUUAGUAGUACUAUUAGAUUUCCUGACAAUAAAAAUAAGUCUUUUGGUUUCACCAUUUAUAGUUAGUACAGCUAAUAUUAAGUAUAAUUU
rnacentral:lncRNA from 10 species